GAUCCUGCCAGUAAUCAUAUGCUUGUCUUAAAGACUAAGCCAUGCAAGUCUAAGGAUAAACACUUUUAUCGUAAACCUGCAAACGGCUCAUUAAAUCAGUUUCAAUCUACUCUGUCAUAUAAUCCUACUUGGAUAACUGUAGUAAUUCUAGAGCUAAUACAUGCAAAAAACCCAGACGUAAGAAUGGGUGUAAGUAUUUGAUACCAAAACCAAUGUGGGCAUUCAACCUUGCUUAGUAAAAUUUGUAAGGGUCCACUGUAACUAUGACUAAAAAUACAAUUACGAAUCGCGAUUUAAUUCCGUGAUGACACGAACGAAAUUCUGCCCUAUCAACUUUCGAUGGUAAUGUAGGGGAUUACCAUGGUUUUAACGGGUAACGGAGAAUCUGGGUUUGAUUCCGGAGAAAAGGCCUGAGAGACGGCCAUUACUUCUAAGGAAGGCAGCAGGCGCGUAAAUUACCCAAUCCCAAUUCGGGGAGGUAGUGACGAGAAAUACUUGUAUUGGUCCCAACGGGAACAAUGAUAGGAAUGAGAACAACGUAAAAAACUUAACGACUAACAAUUGGAGGGCAAGUCUGGUGCCAGCAGCCGCGGUAAUUCCAGCUCCAAGAGUGUAUAUUAAAGUUGUUGCAGUUAAAAAGCUCGUAGUUGGAUUUCGGAUUCCACGUUUAGGUUGGUAAUUUUAUUAUCGAUCGACUUGUGGUGUUCUACUUUUGGUGGUAGUAAUAUCAUCGUUGGUGUAACUUGUAUUGGCUCGCUAGGGGUGAAAUCCUAUGAUUGAGUCAAGACAAACUACUGCGAAAGCAUUUUACAAAGAUGUUUUCAUUAAUCAAGAACGAAAGUUGGGGGAUCGAAGAUGAUCAGAUACCGUCGUAGUCUCAACUGUAAACGAUGUCGACUUAGGAUUAGGAAAUAUUACAUGGAUGAUUUUCCUAGCACUAUGUGAGAAAUCAAAGUAUUCAGACUCUGGGGGGAGUAUGGUCGCAAGGCUGAAACUUAAAGGAAUUGACGGAAGGGCACCACCAGGCGUGGAAUCUGCGGCUUAAUUUGACCCAACACGGGGAAACUUACCGGGUCCGGACUCUAUGAGGAUUGACAGAUUGAGAGCUCUUUCUUGAUUUAGAGGGUGGUGGUGCAUGGCCGUUUUUAGUUGGUGGAACGAUUUGUCUGGUUAAUUCCGAAAACGAACGAGACCUUAACCUAUUAAAUAUGUUAUCUGAUAUUGGUGUAAAAGCCAGGAUUAUUAGAGAAGUUAAACUUCUUAAAGGGACUCUUCACAUUUAAGUGAAUGGAAGAUUAAGGCGAAAACAGGUCUGUGAUGCCCUUCGAUGUUCCGGGCUGCACGCGCGUUACACUGUUAUGUUCAAUGAGUUUUUAAAUUCCUUGCUUUAAAAGGCUGGGCAAACUUACCAAAGCAUAACGUGAUUGGGAUUGUGCCUUGUAAUUAUUGCACAUGAACGAGGAAUGCCUAGUAGGGGUAGGUCAUCAACCUGCCCCGAUUACGUCCCCGCCCUUUGUACACACCGCCCGUCGCUUCUACCGAUUGAAUAAUGCGAUAAGGACUCAGGAUCGAGUUUAAAUUGUUAGCUGAAAGGUUAGCAGUUUUGAUUUGAGAAUUUGUUCAAAUCUUAUUAUUUAGAGGAAGGAGAAGUCGUAACAAGGUUUCCGU
rnacentral:rRNA from 1 species